rnacentral:rRNA from 1 species
AUACGGAGGAUCCGAGCGUUAUCCGGAUUUAUUGGGUUUAAAGGGAGCGUAGGCGGACGCUUAAGUCAGUUGUGAAAGUUUGCGGCUCAACCGUAAAAUUGCAGUUAAUACUGGGUGUCUUGAGUACAGUAGAGGCAGGCGGAAUUCGUGGUGUAGCGGUGAAAUGCUUAGAUAUCACGAAGAACUCCGAUUGCGAAGGCAGCCUGCUGGACUGUAACUGACGCUGAUGCUCGAAAGUGUGGGUAUCAAACAGGAUUAUAUACCCUGGUAGUCCACACAGUAAACGAUGAAUACUCGCUGUUUGCGAUAUACAGUAAGCGGCCAAGCGAAAGCGUUAAGUAUUCCACCUGGGGAGUACGCCGGCAACGGUGAAACUCAAAUGAAUUGACGGGG